UAGGAACUUACCCUUCAGAGGGGGACAACCAAGGGAAACUUUGGCUAAUACCGCAUAAUCUCGAGAGAGUAAAGCUGCCGCAAGGUGGCGCUGAAGGAGAGGCCUGCGUCCGAUUAGCUAGUUGGUGAGGUAAGAGCUCACCAAGGCGAUGAUCGGUAACUGGUCUGAGAGGACGACCAGUCACACUGGGACUGAGACACGGCCCAGACUCCUACGGGAGGCAG
rnacentral:rRNA from 1 species